rnacentral:rRNA from 1 species
AACGAACGCUGGCGGCAUGCCUAACACAUGCAAGUCGAACGAGAUCUUCGGGUCUAGUGGCGCACGGGUGCGUAACGCGUGGGAAUCUGCCCUUUGGUUCGGAAUAACAGUUGGAAACGACUUCUCAUACCGGAUGAUGACGAAAGUCCAAAGAUUUAUCGCCAGAGGAUGAGCCCGCGUAGGAUUAGCUAGUUGGUGUGGUAAAGGCGCACCAAGGCGACGAUCCUUAGCUGGUCUGAGAGGAUGAUCAGCCACACUGGGACUGAGACACGGCCCAGACUCCUACGGGAGGCAGCAGUGGGGAAUAUUGGACAAUAGGCGAAAGCCUGAUCCAGCAAUGCCGCGUGAGUGAUGAAGGCCUUAGGGUUGUAAAGCUCUUUUACCCUGGAUGAUAAUGACAGUACCGGGAGAAUAAGCUCCGGCUAACUCCGUGCCAGCCGCCGCAGUAA